rnacentral:rRNA from 1 species
AGAGUUUGAUCCUGGCUCAGGACGAACGCUGGCGGCGUGCUUAACACAUGCAAGUCGAGCGGAAAGGCCCCUUUGGGGGUACUCGAGCGGCGAACGGGUGAGUAUCACGUGAGUAAUCUGCCCUUCACUUCGGGAUAACUACCGGAAACGGUGGCUAAUACCGGAUAUGACAUUGGUCCGCAUGGGCUGGUGUGGAAAGAUUUUUGGUGGGGGAUGUGCUCGCGGCCUAUCAGCUUGUUGGUGGGGUAAUGGCCUACCAAGGNUUCGACGGGUAGCCGGCCUGAGAGGGUGACCGGCCACACUGGGANUGAGACACGGCCCAGACUCCUACGGGAGGCAGCAGUGGGGAAUAUUGGACAAUGGGCGGAAGCCUGAUCCAGCAACGCCGCGUGAGGGAUGACGGCCUUCGGGUUGUAAACCUCUUUCACCACCGACGAAGCGCAAGUGACGGUAGGUGGGGAAGAAGCACCGGCCAACUACGUGCCAGCAGCCGCGGUAAUACGUAGGGUGCGAGCGUUGUCCGGAAUUAUUGGGCGUAAAGGGCUCGUAGGCGGUUUGUCGCGUCGGGAGUGAAAACCUCGGGCUUAACUCGGGGCUUGCUUUCGAUACGGGCAGACUGGAGGUAUGCAGGGGAGAACGGAAUUCCUGGUGUAGCGGUGAAUGCGUAG